UGGCUCUGGCAUCGAUGAAGAACGCAGCGAAAUGCGAUAAGUAAUGUGAAUUGCAGAAUUCAGUGAAUCAUCGAAUCUUUGAACGCACAUUGCGCCCGCCAGUACUCUGGCGGGCAUGCCUGUUCGAGCGUCAUUACACCCCUCAAGCCCCCGGGCUUGGUGUUGGGGAUCGGGAAACCGCGCCGGCCCCCGGGCCCGGCGACUCCCCCCGUCCUCCAAACGUAUCGGCGGUCCCGCCGCGGCCUUCUUGCGCGUAGUAGCUAACACCUCGCACCGGAACCCGACGUGGCCCACGCCGUAAAACCCCCGACUUUUUUCAAGUUGACCUCGAAUCAGGUAGGACUACCCGCUGA
rnacentral:misc_RNA from 1 species